rnacentral:rRNA from 1 species
GACGAACGCUGGCGGCGUGCUUAACACAUGCAAGUCGAGCGGAGCGGCGAACGGGUGAGUAACGCGUGAGUAACUGCCCCCCUCUCUGGGAUAACAGUUGGCAACGGCUGCUAAUACCGGAUAGUGGGGGAUGACUCGCGGCCUAUCAGCUUGUUGGUGGGGUAGUGGCCUACCAAGGCGACGACGGGUAGCCGGCCUGAGCGGGCGACCGGCCACAGUGGGCUGAGAUACGUAGCAAACGCGUACGGGAGGCAGCAGGGGGGAAUAUUGCACAAUGGGGGAAACCCUGAGGCAGAAACGCCGCGUGCGGGAUGACGGCCUUCGGGUUGUAAACCGCUUUCAGCCAUGACGCGGUAGUGGCAGAAGAAGCACCGGCUAACUACGUGCCAGCAGCCGCGGUAAUUC